CCGGUGGCCCGCGAGGGUCCCCCGGACGAGUCGUGGGCGUACCCGGUCAGGCCAAGACGCCCCGUG
rnacentral:ncRNA from 1 species